rnacentral:rRNA from 1 species
GACGAACGCUGGCGGCGUGCUUAACACAUGCAAGUCGAACGGAAAGGCCCUGCUUUUGUGGGGUGCUCUAGUGGCGAACGGGGGAGUAACACGUGAGUAACCUGCACCUGACCUUGGGGUAACUUCAUGCCACUGGGGCUAAUACCAGCUAGGAUUUCCUGCUUCUUGGUGGGGGUUGGUAAGUUUCGGCGGUUGGGGAUGGACUCGCGGCUUAUCAGCUUGUUGGUUGGGUAGUGGCUUACCAAGGCUUUGACGGGUAGCCGUCCUGGGAGGGGAACCUGCCACACUGGGACGGAGAUAAGACACAGCCUACAACGGGAGGCAGGAGUGGAGAAGAGUGCACAAUGGGCGGAAGCCUGAUGCAGCCAAGCAGCGUGGGGGAAGUCGGCAAUCGGGUAGUGAUGCGCUUUCGCCUGUGACGAGACGUGAGUGACGGUAAUGGGUAAAGAAGCACCGGCUAACUACGUG